rnacentral:rRNA from 1 species
UACGGGGGGAGCAAGCGUUGUUCGGAUUUACUGGGCGUAAAGGGCGCGUAGGCGGCACCGCAAGUCGACUGUGAAAUCUCCGGGCUUAACUCGGAAAGGUCAGCCGAUACUGCGGGGCUAGAGUGCAGAAGGGGCAACUGGAAUUCUCGGUGUAGCGGUGAAAUGCGUAGAUAUUGGGAAGAACACCUGAGGCGAAGGCGGGUUGCUGGGCCGACACUGACGCUGAGGCGCGAAAGCCAGGGGGAGCAAACGGG